rnacentral:misc_RNA from 1 species
GUAUAAAUUUUAUAGGCACAAACAUUCUAUUAACAUACAUUGGGUGUAAAUGAAGCAACAUAGACCAUGAAAAAAUAUCCAAGGUCUACAAAAGGUGCACAGGUGGAGAUAUAAAGAUGACAAGGUGUGCACAUGCUCUCUAGAGAGCCAGCAACAACCCAUCAGGUUUAUUUCAAUAAUGAUCCUUCCGCAGGUUCACCUACGGAAA